AACUAGCACAGAAAAUGGACAAACAAAUGUGCCUUGUGGCCUACUGCAAUUUGCUUUUCUAAUAAUAUGUACCUUAGAAUGGAUGUCAUCGACUGUUAUAGAAAGAUUCUUGCUAGUCUGAAUAAACUGUGGCAUCUGGACCCUGAACACAUGUGAAAAUAAGGAAAGUCAAGAGACUGAAUGUGAACUUCUUAAUAGGGCAAAAAUAAUAAUAAAAGCUACGAGAGGUCAAAGAGGGACAACAAGAAUGACAGACUGGCCAAAGCGGGGACAGGAGGAAGAAAACUAAUUGACUUUCUGUUUCAAUAAUUGGCUACUUUUAUCAAACUAUUACUCCCACUUCACAAAUCUAUUCUGAUAAUUCUCUUUCUGAGUCAGAGUGUUUCUCAGAAGUCAGUAAUUUCUAUUUACUCAUCAACUACUCUUUGCAACAAGGCUUUGAAAUAGGAGUGUUCUGUUUGUGUAUUUGUUGCUGAGGCUAGAAUGAGCAAUCCUCAGUUUUCAGCAGCUCUGAGUUUAAUGAUAACAAUGGAAAGCAGGAGUAGUGACAUAGAAAGAAAUCUUUUUUUUAAUACUUGACAAGGGAAUAUCAUAAGAUGUGAUGCAAAAUUUAUUCAGAAAUUUUUAUGAGGAAAUGCCUCUCCAGCCACAUUUUAUCAUUGAUUCAUCUUUGUGAAGAGUGCUGAUUUUUACCAAAAAAGAACAAUAUGAUUGUCUUUAAUUGCUUCUAAUGUGAGGGAAGCACACAUUUCAUAAUCCUUGCUGUGUUCUGACUAGUGAAACAAGACAGGGCUUUAAAUAGCUACAGUCACUAUUGGAGGCAUGUGCCACUGUUACUUCAAGUUAUUGGAUGCAUUUGAGCCUCUGAGUUUUUAUUCCAUUUCAAACAUUAUCUGUACUUUUCAAUAAAGAACCAAUGAUGUCAGGAACAAGUCUCAUCUUGACAACUGGUUGCUUCAGUCUUCUCUUGUUGAAUGAUAACAUCAUAUUAACAGAAUUUUACUAUA